AGUACUUCGGAGGAAUCUUGGGGUAAGGAGGAAGCUUAGGAAGAGGAGGGCAUGGCUUCUUAUGAAAUGGAGGGAUCUUUGGGAUUGGAGGCAGUGGCUUAUAAAUUGGAACUGGAGGUGGUAAAGGCUUGUAGAUGGGAAUAGGAGGUGGUAGAGGCUUGAAGAUUGGUGGUUUUGGUUUUGGCUUGUAAAUUGGCACUGGAGGUGGCUUGAAGAUUGGUGGCUUUGGCUUAGGCUUGUAGAUGGGAAUAGGAGGUGGCAGAGGCUUGAAGAUUGGUGGUUUUGGUUUUGGCUUGUAAAUUGGCAAUGGAGGUGGCUUGAAGAUUGGUGGCUUUGGCUUGUAGAUCGGAACAUGAGGUAGAGGUGGCUUCUUGUAGAUUGGAGGGAAGACCUUUGGCGGGAGUGGAG
rnacentral:lncRNA from 1 species